rnacentral:rRNA from 1 species
GUGGGGAAUCUUCCGCAAUGGACGAAAGUCUGACGGAGCAACGCCGCGUGAGUGAAGAAGGUUUUCGGAUCGUAAAGCUCUUUCGUUAGGGACGAACGUGCUCUUUGUGAAUAAUGAGGAGUAAUGACGGUACCUAAAUAAGAAGCCACGGCUAACUACGUGCCAGCAGCCGCGGUAAUACGUAGGUGGCAAGCGUUGUCCGGAAUUAUUGGGCGUAAAGCGCGCGCAGGCGGGAUAUCAAGUCUGUCUUAAAAGUGCGAGGCUCAACCUCGUGAGGGGACAGAAACUGGUAUUCUUGAGUGUCGGAGAGGAAAGUGGAAUUCCAAGUGUAGCGGUGAAAUGCGUAGAGAUUUGGAAGAACACCAGUGGCGAAUGCGACUUUCUGGACGAUGUCUGACGCUGAGGCGCGAAAGCUAGGGGAGCGAACGGGAUUAGAAACCCGGGUAGUCC